UGCAGGUGCACCUUCCAUGCCGCGAACAAAUGUUUGACCAUUCGUCUUAUUCAAAAUAGUUAUCUAAAUGUUAUUUAUUUUGUUACGAGUUGUUUUAUUAUAAUAGAUAGUUUAAGCAUGACUUAUAUUUAUAAAUAUUUGCAUAAAUUUUUUGAAUAAAACGAAGGGUCAAACGUGCGCUAAAAAGUCAACAGCGUCAAACAUU
rnacentral:pre_miRNA from 1 species